rnacentral:rRNA from 1 species
AAUCAACGCUGGCGGCGUGCCUCAGACAUGCAAGUCGAACGCGAAAGCUCCCUUCGGGGAGCAAGUAGAGUGGCGCACGGGUGAGUAACACGUAGGUAAUCUACCUUUGGAUGGGGAAUAACAACCGGAAACGGUUGCUAAUACCGCAUAAUGCAGCGGCACCUAAUGGUGACAGUUGUUAAAGCGGGGGAUCGCAAGACCUCGCGUCUGAAGAGGAGCCUGCGGCAGAUUAGCUAGUUGGUAAGGUAACGGCUUACCAAGGCGAUGAUCUGUAGCCGGCCUGAGAGGGCGGUCGGCCACACUGACACUGACAUACGGGUCAGACUCCUACGGGAGGCAGCAGUCGGGAAUUUUGGGCAAUGGGCGAAAGCCUGACCCAGCAACGCCGCGUGAAGGAUGAAAUCCCUCGGGACGUAAACUUCGCAAGAACGGGAAGAAUAAGUCGGUGUAAACACCACCGACGAUGACGGUACUGUUUGUAAGUUCCCCGGCUAACUCCGUGCCAGCAGCCGAC